GUUGAACAAACAACUCUAUCAAGUGUUUUUGCAGAGCCAAAAAAACAUAAAUAAAUUUAUCAAUGGAUAUUGAUCAAAUUGAAAUUCUCUUUAGCAAACUAUCACAUCUAACUGGAAGGAAUGUCAUAAGGAAUUCGGCGCUGAGCAGAAAAAUGAAUUGAGUAUCAAUGAGCCUAAACUCCCUCAUUAUGCUAGGUGCUUGGGUCUUAUGGAAUCACCGAAACAGAUGCAUCUUUGAUGGCCUUUCCCCUAAUAUUGCUAAUUUCCUCAUUCAAAUUGGGGACGAGUGCCGUCUGUGGGAGACUGCUGGGGCCAAGGGGCUGUCCUCCCUCUCAGUUGUGGACUAGAGCUUUAUAAAUGAGUCAGUUUAUGUUCGUUAUGUUUAGACCGCCGUAAGGCGUCAAUUGUACCCCGGUCUAUUUUGGACAUUGUUUAUUUCUACUUUUAAUAUAAUGAUACGCAGCUCUCCAGCGUGUUCGAGAAAAAAAAGUAUCAGUGAGCAAAUUUAUAUUGUACUAGUGCAAGCAACAAACGCCCCACAAAGUAGAAGAGUGCACAUAUCUACUAAAGGUUAUGUUCAAAUUUUCAGAACCACAUAGUCAAGUGUAUGUAUAUCGUGGGCACUGAUAAAGCCCCUGUUUGGUUCAGCUUCUGGUCGCCAGAAGCAGAAGCUGGAGCCAAACGGGUAGAUUCUCGCGCCGCUUCUCCGCGACGCGCUUGCGCACGAAGCCGCCCGGCCACGGAACGCUAGAAGCGCCCGUCAGUUGACUUCAGUUCGAAGCCGCACCCACUUCGCUAGGGUUCUAGCCCACACGCAAUGCUCCUCUGCCGCCACGAACCCAUCGCGCCGCCGCCGGUCCGUCUCCUCCCCGCAUCGUGGUAGGUACAGGCGACCUCCUCCGCGCCGGUGUGUGUUCUCCUACGCCGCGUCUCAUUCUCGUCUUCCCUAGGGUUCGCGCUCCGAGGACGCAGCCUCAUCCCCGUCACGAAGGAACCUCUCCCCCCCCCCCCGUCGUCGUCGCAGGUACGGCCUCUCUCCUCCAUCCGGACCCUCUCAUUCACCACCGCCGCGGUCGUUCCUUGACCCUUUACUGUCGCUAGGGUUGCCGCACCCACACCGGCGCCGCUGCUCCGUCGUGAAGCUUCCUCUGCUCCCCCCGUCGCGUCGUCAUCUGCGCAGAUUUCCUUAUCAACUCGGGGUCUUCGUCUUCGGUUCCAAUUUCCAGUGCAACCAAGGUAUUCUCAUACUCAAUUUGUUGCGCAGUUUACUGUCAACAUGGGCUCAACCAAUUACUGUUUAAGGUUUACUAGGGAUGGCAUUGCUCUGUUGCAUCAGUAUUAUUUGUUCAGGGAUUAGUUCUUAGUUUGUUUGUCAGAACCUGUAUGGUCAGGGUUCAGUUCAUACUUUUGUUUGUUACUAGCUGUAUGUUAGUUGCUUCAACCAACAUUUGUCCCUUGUCGGCAAUUCAUGUCAAUACAUGGAAGUUAGUAGAUUGUCCCCUUGUCUAGUACACUAACCAACCUAAAUCCACAUCAGAUGGAUUCAGCAGACUCCAUAGCCGACAAGGCAAUUGGAAGGAUGCAAGAGAUUGCGGACAAGGUUUUUUCCGUAGCUCGGGAAACAAUCCGUCCAGGACGCGGGUUGACCUCCUUUGACGCUACCAAACUUCGUGUAGCAUUGGAGGACAUUGCUUGCAUGAUGGAGCAAGAUUCUCUGGUGUUCCAAGAGUAUUUGGACAAGGUCAACAACGUAACCCACCAGCCUGACAGCAACUACGAACCCUCAGACUUGUCCUCACCACCCCCUGGUGAAGACAACCUUAGUCCAGACUGGGACUUUGCCGAGCACUUCGAAAGGUUUUGGGGUAUUGAAUAUGACUCCGAUCAGAUGCCUUCCUUUAGUGACAAUGAGGUUUAAGUUAGAACUUGGUUAAGCCUGUUGUUUGUGUGCAUGCAGAUGUGUGACCCUGCUGCACACACAUAUGAUCAUGACACGGAUGACAGAGAUGGACAAUUGCUUGUUGCCCUAUAUGCUGUAGACAUUUGGGGCAGGCCUUCCAGUGAGGUUUCUAGAAGAACAAUGGUUGAAACAGGUAUUCAAUGGGUUGAGCGAACUUUGGGGAAUAGUAACGACUGCUUUGACAUGUUUCGCAUGCGACAUACUGUUUUUAGACGAUUGCAUGAUACGUUGGUGGAAAGUUAUGGUCUGCUUCCAAGCCGUGGUGUCGGUACUAUGGAAGCUCUAGGUAUUUUUCUUGUGGGCAUGUGGGGGUCCACAAUCAUUUAGACAGAUAAGGAAUAAGUUUGGUCACUCCUUGGAAACUAUUAGUCGCAAGUAUAGUGAAGUACUUAAUGCACUAUAUAAGAUGUCAUCUGACGUAAUCAAGCCCAAAGACCCAAAUUUCAUAGAGAUUCAUCCUCGUUUGCGAGAGGGGAGAUUUUGGCCCCACUUCAAGGAUUGCAUAGGAGCAAUUGAUGGUACUCACUUUCCAGCGUCUGUCCCGGCCUCGGAGCAAGCCAAAUAUAUUGGUCGGCAUGGUUACGCAUCACAGAAUGUAAUGGCCGUUUGUGACUUCGAUAUGAGGUUCACAUUUGUUGUCACAGGUUGGCCAGGUUCAGUACAUGACACUAGAGUAUUACAAGAUACUUUGAUAACUUAUGUAGACUGGUUCCCCCAUCCACCGGAAGGUAAAUACUAUCUUGUGGAUUCAGGUUAUCCAAAUAGAAAGGGGUACCU